CGGAACGGGUGAGUAACGCGUGAGGAACCUGCCUCAAAGAGGGGACAACAGUUGGAAACGACUGCUAAUACCGCAUAAGCCCACGGGUCGGCAUCGACCAGAGGGAAAAGGAGCAAUCCGCUUUGAGAUGGCCUCGCGUCCGAUUAGCUAGUUGGUGAGGUAAUGGCCCACCAAGGCAACGAUCGGUAGCCGGACUGAGAGGUUGAACGGCCACAUUGGGACUGAGACACGGCCCAG
rnacentral:rRNA from 1 species